GAACUGCCAUAAAAUGCCAUAUACUUAUCUGACCGUUAAAUCUCCGCCCUUCCUUCCUUAUCACACCCGGUACUCUCUCUUAUAUCAUCUCUUUUUCGUCCCCCACCUUUCUCUUCUAGCGGAUGAGAGCUUCAAUUCGUACUUUUUCAAUGGUUUUGCCCUCUUCAUUAUCCUAUCUCUGAAGUACCUUUUUUUUCUGCUUUUAACUAUUGUAUCCCCUAUUAUCUAUUAUUGCUGCGCUUCCUUGGGAAGUUUAUACCCUUUUUUCACCCUGUUCUUCAACCUUGAAGUCUCAGAAAAUUUCCUGUUUUGCUGCUGCUGCUGCUGCUUGGUAAUUAUUGAAUAUUCCAACAUUCGAAUCAGUAGUCCAUGUUAAUGGAAGUCUGCCUGUGCUGAACUUUUUUUUGUGGGGUCUUUAAGUAUUGGUUUAAUGAGGUAUACAUAACUAGCUAUUGAUAUCUAUCUAUCUAUCUAUCUAAAGGCCUUCAAGUUUCAAAUUCGUUUUUCCUAUCUACCGAAGGUUGAAAAUGGCUCCCAGGAACAGCCGCGGAAAGUCCAAAGGAGAGAAGAAGAAGAAAGAAGAGAAGGUUCUUCCAGUGGUCAUGGACAUCACCGUACACCUCCCUGAUGAAACUCAUAUUAUUCUCAAGGGAAUAUCAACAGACAGGAUUCUAGAUGUUCGUCGUCUUUUAUCGGUGAAUACCGAGACCUGCAACAUCACAAAUUUUUCCUUGUCCCAUGAGGUAAGAGGGCUGCGGUUAAAAGAUACCGUCGAUGUUUCAGCGCUCAAGCCGUGCGUCCUAAUUUUAACUGAAGAGGACUACGAUGAAGAAAGCGCAGUGGCACACGUUAGACGGCUGCUGGAUAUCGUGGGUUGCACCACGUGCUUUGGCCCAUCGGCCACUUCCAAAGAUCAGUCCAAGCCCGACGAUGUCAAGAAUGCGAUGGUUAAGCAUGACAAGGGCGGUAUCGUCGCCAAGAAAACCACCGUCAGUACGAAUAAAGAAUCGUUGUCAAAGUAUUCGUUGAAGGACGAACCAAUGGAGGCAGAAGGAGAGAUGAGCCAUUCCUGUCCUAAGCUCAGUUCUUUCUACGAAUUCUUUUCCUUAUCUCAUCUCACUACUCCUCUUCAGUAUAUAAAGAGGCAAAGGAAGUGUCAAGUUGAGAAGAUCACCUGUGACGAGCAUCUCUUCUCCCUCGAAGUUAAGCUUUGCAAUGGAAAGUUGGUUCACCUGGAAGCUUGUCGGCAAGGCUUUUAUAGUGUUGGGAAGCAACGGAUCCUUUGUCACAAUCUUGUUGAUUUGUUACGCCAACUUAGUAGAGCUUUUGAUAAUGCAUACACUGAUCUCAUGAAAGCAUUUUUGGAACGUAACAAGUUUGGGAAUCUUCCAUAUGGCUUAAGAGCCAAUACAUGGCUCACACCUCCAAUUGCUGCACAAUCACCAUCAAAUUUCCUGCCUCUCCCUGUGGAGGAUGAAACUUGGGGGGGUAAUGGAGGUGGUUUAGGAAGAGAUGGCAAAAGUGAUUUGCUACCUUGGGCCACUGAGUUUUCAUUUCUUGCAUCUAUGCCCUGUAAGACAGCAGAGGAGAGGCAGAUACGGGACAGGAAAGCAUUCCUACUUCACAGCCUUUUUGUGGAUGUGUCCAUUCUCAGAGCAGUUAAAGCUGUGAAGCAUGUAAUGGGAAAGCUAAAUUCUAGUUCCGUAAAAAAUUGUGAAACUCUUUACACUGAGAGAGUGGGGGACUUGAUUUUUAUGGUAAUGAAAGAUGCUUCUAAUGCAAGCUGUAAGGUGGACACUAAAAUUGAUGGACUUCAAGCAAUUGGAUUGGAUCAAAAGAAUUUGCUGGAAAGAAACUUAUUGAAAGGGAUAACAGCUGAUGAAAAUACGGCUUCACAUGACAUUUCGACCCUUGGUAUGCUAAAUGUGAGAUACUGUGGCUAUAUUGCCAUUGUGAAAGUUGUGGGGAGAGAGAAUGAGAAAAGCAUUCUUCCAUCUCAAAGCAUUGAACUUAAACAGCCUGAAGGCGGGGCCAAUGCCCUCAACAUUAACAGUUUAAGAUUACUUCUUCACCAAACAAUACCUUCAGAACUCAAUAAACCAGCUUCGCCAUCACAAGUUUUGGAACAUGAAGAGCUUGCUUCUUCCCAACUUUUAGUAGAGAGACUGCUGGAAGAAAGUCUUCUUAAGCUUGAGGAAGAGGAACUUGAACAUAAACCUUUUGUGAGAUGGGAACUGGGAGCCUGCUGGGUACAACAUUUGCGGGACCAAAAUAAUACAGAAAAAGAUAAAAAACCAUUUGGGGAGAAACCUAACAAUGAGAUGAAGAUUGAGGGACUUGGGACACCUCUUAGGUCCCUCAAAAACAAGAAAAAAGUAGAUGGGAAUAUAGGGGCUGGAAACUUAAAUUCUCAUCCAGGCACUGUUGAAAAUGUUGAAGCAGCUUCUAGAGAGCUUGAAACCAGUUCAGGAGAUGAAGAAUUUGUGCUGAAGAGGAAGUUAUCUGAAGAGGCGUUUGCUCGACUUAAAGAAUCAGAGACUGAACUUCAUUGCAGGUCUUUACAGGAACUAAUUGACUUGUCACAGAAAUAUUACACUGAAGUUGCUCUUCCAAAACUGGUUGCAGAUUUUGGUUCUUUGGAACUCUCACCAGUUGAUGGGCGGACUCUAACUGAUUUCAUGCAUACUAGAGGUCUUCAGAUGCGUUCUUUGGGACAUGUUGUCAAGCUCUCAGAAAAGCUUUCACAUGUGCAGUCACUGUGUAUUCAUGAGAUGAUUGUUCGGGCAUUCAAGCAUAUUCUGCAGGCAGUGAUUGCCACUGUUGUUAACACUGAUAAAAUGGCUGCAUCGAUAGCUUCUGCACUGAACUUGAUGCUUGGAGUUACUGAGAAUGGGGUAUCACACAAGUCUUGCAAAAUCCAUUCCCUGGUAUGGAAGUGGUUGCAGGUCUUCUUGAUGAAGCGAUAUGAAUGGGAUAUUAGCAACUUAGACUUCAAUGACAUUAGGAAAUUUGCAAUUCUACGUGGAUUAUGCCAUAAGGUAGGAAUUGAGUUGGUUCAAAGGGAUUUUGACAUGGAUUCUCCUAGCCCAUUCCAACCAUCAGAUAUUGUCAGUCUGGUUCCAGUGCAUAAGCAAGCUGCAUGCUCAUCUGCUGAUGGAAGGCAACUUUUAGAAUCAUCAAAAACAGCCUUGGAUAAGGGAAAACUUGAAGAUGCAGUGACCUAUGGAACCAAGGCUCUUUCAAAGCUGAUAGCAGUUUGCGGUCCAUAUCAUCGAAUGACAGCUGGAGCUUACAGCCUUCUUGCUGUAGUUUUAUAUCACACUGGAGACUUCAAUCAGGCAACAAUAUACCAGCAAAAAGCCAUGGAUAUCAAUGAGAGAGAAUUGGGUCUAGACCAUCCAGACACAAUGAAGAGUUAUGGAGAUCUUGCUGUAUUCUAUUACAGGCUUCAGCAUACAGAACUUGCUCUUAAAUAUGUAAAGCGUGCUCUGUAUCUUUUACAUCUUACUUGUGGCCCGUCUCAUCCAAAUACUGCUGCAACAUACAUAAAUGUAGCUAUGAUGGAAGAAGGCCUGGGCAAUGUGCAUGUUGCCCUUAGAUAUCUUCAUAAAGCUCUCAAGUGUAACCAGAAGUUACUUGGUCCAGACCAUAUUCAGACAGCAGCAAGUUACCAUGCUAUUGCAAUUGCGCUCUCAUUGAUGGAAGCUUAUCCUUUGAGUGUACAACAUGAACAAAGAACCUUGCAAAUUCUCCGAGCUAAGCUGGGUCCUGAUGAUUUGCGUACCCAGGAUGCUGCUGCAUGGCUGGAGUACUUUGAGUCCAAGGCAAUUGAACAGCAAGAAGCUGCUCGAAACGGUACUAAGAAACCAGAUGCAUCCAUAGCUAGCAAGGGCCAUCUAAGUGUAUCUGAUUUGCUUGACUACAUUAAUCCAAAUCAUGAUGUCAAAGGGAAAGAUAUUGCAGCAGGAAAGAGAAGAAGCUACAUUACAAAGUUGAAGGGAAAACUCCAUCCAGCAAGUUCUGAGGGAUCUCGAAAAGAGGCUGCAAAAGAGGCCUCAGAUGAAGAGACACAUAUAUCUGAACAUGAAGAUAAACCAGAUGCUAACCAGGAGACUAGCUCUUUACCAGUGCAGUCCCAGGCUCCUGUUGCAGAAGAGACAACAGAGGCAAAACUGAACCUUGAUAAUUACAUUCUGUCUGAAUCACUUGCUGAAGGGGAUGAUGGGUGGCAACCUGUUCAAAGGCCAAGAGCAUCUGCUUCACUUGGACAGCGACUAAAGCAGAGGCGAGCAACUAGAGGCAAGGUUUUUCGUUACCAGAAAAAGAAUAUUGAUCCUGAUAUGGAAUUCCCUCUGGUCAAGGCCACUCAUCAAAAUAGUAGGUAUUACCUUUUAAAGAAAAGAACAAUAGCUCAUGGAGCUUAUACAGAUCAGCUCACUAUGAACCCUUCCCAAGGUUCAAAAUUUGGACGGAGAGUAAUCAAAAGUGUUACAUACAGGGUUAAGUCCAUUCCUUCAUCUACUAAAAGUUCAACUGAAAUCUCUAGAAAUGGAGGUGAGGUGUUUAAUUCUUCAGUGGGAUCUGCUUCCACCUUUACACCAAGUAAUCUCCGUCCAACGAAAAAUUCUAUACUAAGUCUUGGGAAAUCUCCUUCUUACAAGGAAGUAGCUUUGGCGCCCCCAGGUAGUAUCUCCAAACUGCAUUUUAGGCCUGAAACUGAUUGUCCUGAUAAGCAAGACUUUAACAUUGAAAAACGUCAAGAGGAAAUUAGUGAAACAAAAGAUAAUUUUGAUCAGUUGGCUGCGGGGAUAGAAAACAUAUUUGAAAAGAGUGAAAAUGCUAUAUUGGAUUCAACAGAUAGCUUGGCAGAGGAAGUUGGUGUAGUUGAAAAUAAAGAAACUAGGUCAACUGCUCUGAUGGAAGAUAACUCUUCUUUGGUGGUGUCUGAGAGAGUGGAAGGACAAGAACUUGAGGCUGGUGAUCAUAAGGUUCAUGAAGUUGUACAUGAUGACAUAUCCAUAAACGGCCUGCCUAGUAUUGAUUCUCCCAAAAAGGAACUGUCUGAGAAGGAUUUGUCUGGAAGUUUUGAACCACACAGUAAUUCAAACUCCACAUUGCGAGAGGUAGAAGAAUUGAAGGACAAACCCUUGGUCCUAAAGUCUGGUAAUGGUCAAGGAGUAGCCAAUAAGAAGUUGUCUGCAUCCGCAGCACCUUUCAAUCCAUCAACACCCAUUUCACGUGCUGCACUACUCCCCAUGAACAUCACUCUUCCUCCUGCUCCUGGACCUGUUCCAGCCGUUGCACCUUGGCCGGUGAACAUGCCUCCUAUUCACUCUGCACCUUCUACUGUCUUACCAAAUCCAAUGUGCUCCUCCCCUCGCCAUCCAUAUCCAUCACCUCCUCCAACUCCUGGACCUGUUCCAGCCGUUGCACCUUGGCCAGUGAACAUGCCUCCUAUUCACUCUGCACCUUCUACUGUCUUACCAAAUCCAAUGUGCUCCUCCCCUCGCCAUCCAUAUCCAUCACCUCCUCCAACUCCAAACAUGAUGCAGUCUCUAUCCUUUAUGUAUCCACCCUAUACUCAACCCCAACCUUUACCAACAAGCACCUUUCCUGUAACUAGCAACCCUUUUCACCCCAGUCAAUUCUCAUGGCAGAGCAAUGUGAACCCCAGUGUACCAGAGUUCAUUCGUGGGACAGUUUGGCCUGGUCAUCCAAUGGAGUUGUCCAUACCAUCACCAAUUGUUGAGCCAAUUGCUGAUCAGGUAUUGGAACCCAAAAGGCAAGUUGAUGAUGCAAACCCUAGUUCAGCUCGAAUGCUGCCAGUGGAUAUUGACACUGUUGGAGAAGCUAAGAAAGAAGUCAACAUUUCAGCAUCUGAGGCAACAAAUAGUGCUAAUGUUGGGUUGGAAAGUCUACAGGAAAAUGGUUACUUGAAUCAAUGUGUUGUUGACAAUUCUUGGAAUGAACCGGGCCAAUACAACAGCCCAAAUAAAAAUGCUGAAAAUGAAAGGAAGAGGGAUGGUGAGAAAACCUUCAGCAUUUUAUUAAGAGGUAGAAGAAACCGAAAGCAAACGUUGAGAAUGCCAAUCAGUUUACUUAGUCGACCAUAUGACUCACAGUCUUUUAAAGUUACAUACAACAGAGUUGUCAGAGGGAGUGAAGCUCCAAAAUCUACUAGCUUUAAUUCGAGUGAAAGUUGUACAGCUAGUGCUACAUAGCUGAAAGCUUUAUUUCUUGCUGAUUUUAAACAUGGCAGAACUGUCAGGAACAGGGUAAAAGAAACAAACUUUGAUCAGUCCUAUGGACAGCAAAGAAAAAUUUUUCUAGCUUCGUGGUAACAAACUGCAUUGUCCAUUGGACUUGUGAUCUAAAAUGCAGGUACUCUAAAUUUUGCUUCUACUUGAUUCAUCUAAAUUUAUGAACAAGGACGAGAGUAGCUUUAAAGCAGGUUCAAAUGAUAAUUAACUAAUGGGGAUUAGGUAGGCGUUGUUAAGGUGACGAUUUUGGUCCAUACUUAAGUUAGGAAUUUUUUAACAUCUUAGAUCACAGAAUUUUAAAGAUUGAUUUCACCCUUUUGGUUUUCAAUAGCAAUGACAUUGAUAAUUGAUUUUAUUCAAUUGUAUAUGACUUCAAUUUUGUUCUUUUGUGUUUUCAACAUUGUUAUAUUAACAAAGUGAUACAAUGAUGAACAUAAAAUAUU